rnacentral:rRNA from 1 species
UACGUAGGGGGCUAGCGUUGUCCGGAAUCAUUGGGCGUAAAGCGCGUGUAGGCGGUCCGGUAAGUCCGCUGUGAAAGUCGGGGGCUCAACCCUCGAAUGCCGGUGGAUACUGUCGGGCUAGAGUGCGGUAGGGGGAGACUGGAAUUCCUGGUGUAGCGGUGGAAUGCGCAGAUAUCAGGAGGAACACCGGUGGCGAAGGCGGGUCUCUGGGCCGUAACUGGACGCUGAGGCGCGAAAGCUAGGGGAGCGAACGGG